GAUGAACGCUGGCGGCGUGCCUAAUACAUGCAAGUCGAGCGAACAGACGAGGAGCUUGCUCCUCUGACGUUAGCGGCGGACGGGUGAGUAACACGUGGAUAACCUACCUAUAAGACUGGGAUAACUUCGGGAAACCGGAGCUAAUACCGGAUAAUAUAUUGAACCGCAUGGUUCAAUAGUGAAAGACGGUUUUGCUGUCACUUAUAGAUGGAUCCGCGCGGCAUUAGCUAGUUGGUAAGGUAACGGCUUACCAAGGCAACGAUGCGUAGCCGACCUGAGAGGGUGAUCGGCCACACUGGAACUGAGACACGGUCCAGACUCCUACGGGAGGCAGCAGUAGGGAAUCUUCCGCAAUGGGCGAAAGCUUGACGGAGCAACGCCGCGUGAGUGAUGAAGGUCUUCGGAUCGUAAAACUCUGUUAUUAGGGAAGAACAAAUGUGUAAGUAACUAUGCACAUCUUGACGGUACCUAAUCAGAAAGCCACGGCUAACUACGUG
rnacentral:rRNA from 1 species